GAAGAAACAAAAAGGAAGAAUGUAAAAGACAAAGUAGUUAUAAUUAGAAAGUAGAUUGUUUCUAAUACUGGGAUUCAGGUAUAAGUGUUGUCAGGUGGCUUUUUAUUUAAGUGGCAAAGCUCAAAGGGUAUGAAAAACCUAACCCUUUCCUCAAAACUUUUUCCAUGUUGUUAUGUGUAAGAGGUCAUGUUGAUAAUGGGAAAUAUUCUGUCUUAAGAAGCUGCAAAUUCCAGGUAAUUGUCAGUGGGCAAGCCACUUACCUGCUUUAAGCCUGAAUUUCAGUAUCUGAAAAAUUCAAAGAGGCACCUUACCAGCCUGAAGCGAAAGGCUCUGUCACAUUCUAUUUUGAGACCCUUUGGGGCUCUGCGCUCUAUGGCUCUGUGACGCUUGGUCUUACGUAGAGUCUCUUCAGUAAUUUAUCCCUUAACAGACUGCUUCACAUGUUAGUAAUCACAGGAGGCUGAGGAACAUUCAUUAGAAGAACAUUAAGGGAAAUCAAAGUCAAGAGAGAAGAGUCAAGCUCUGAACCUCAAAAAGAACGGUAUUUGACGGUGGGGAAAGUGCCCUGGUAGAGGUGGCUGUCUCAGGAGGAAGAGGCCAGGUAGAGGAGAAAAACAGAGGAAGACAGAAAUCAGAAAAGAGACACAGAGUCAAGAGAUUUCCGACACUAUGGGAAGCAGAAGAUGAAGAGUGGAAGAGAGAUCAGGGCCGUACUCCUACGUCGGGGCAGAACAGUGGUUGUUUUGUGUACUGUUUGAACCCAGCGAGAAAAAAACUGAGAAAGAGUGAUGAAAUAAAAUAAAGAACGGUAUUCCACCUCCGGAACUGGGAUUUAUUUUAAGAGUCUUUUUUUGAGGAAUGGGGUUAAAUGUAUAUUGAGAAAUAUUGGAUGUGGGAUUUAAGAAGGUUGGAAAGCCAGUGACUUGAGACCUUGAUUAAUGUGAUGCAAACAGAAGGACCGGUGCCUGACACCCUUUUGCUUGGCUUUCAUGGGAGGAGGAACUCUCAUUUCAUUCGACUGUAGUG
rnacentral:lncRNA from 1 species